AUUGUCUUAGUAACGGCGAGUGAAGCGACAAAAGCUCAAAUUUGAAAUCUGGCACCUUCGGUGUCCGAGUUGUAAUUUGAAGAAGGUAACUUUGGAGUUGGCUCUUGUCUAUGUUCCUUGGAACAGGACGUCACAGAGGGUGAGAAUCCCGUGCGAUGAGAUGUCCAACUCUAUGUAAAGUGCUUUCGAAGAGUCGAGUUGUUUGGGAAUGCAGCUCUAAGUGGGUGGUAAAUUCCAUCUAAAGCUAAAUAUUGGCGAGAGACCGAUAGCGAACAAGUACAGUGAUGGAAAGAUGAAAAGAACUUUGAAAAGAGAGUGAAAAAGUACGUGAAAUUGUUGAAAGGGAAGGGUUUGAGAUCAGACUUGGUAUUUUGUAUGUCUUGCUUUCGGGUGGGGCCUCUGCAGUUUACUGGGCCAGCAUCGGUUUGGACGGUAGGAUAAUGACAUUGGAAUGUGGCACUACUUCGGUGGUGUGUUAUAGACUUUGUUGAUACUACCUGUCUAGACCGAGGACUGCGUCUUUGACUAGGAUGCUGGCAUAAUGAUCCUAAACCGCCCGUCUUGAAAC
rnacentral:rRNA from 1 species